UACAGAAAGUAAACGCGGGUCAAACCGCGAACUUUUAAACCUUUGACGAUUGACUCACGUUGCCUCGGCGGGUUCGCCCGCCAGAGGAUACAUACAAAACUCCUGAUUUAACGGUGUUGUCUGAGCUACAAGCAACGAAUCAAAACUUUCAACAACGGAUCUCUUGGUUCUGGCAUCGAUGAAGAACGCAGCGAAAUGCGAUAAGUAGUGUGAAUUGCAGAAUUCAGUGAAUCAUCGAAUCUUUGAACGCACAUUGCGCCCCUUGGUAUCCCGAGGGGCAUGCCUGUUCGAGCGUCAUUUCACCACUCAAGCCUGGCUUGGUGUUGGGCGACGUUCCCUUUGGGGGCGCGCUUCGAAACGCUCGGCGGCGUGGCACCGGCUUUAAGCGUAGCAGAAUCUUUCGCUUUGAAAGUCGGGGCACCGUCUGCCGGAAGACCUGCUCAAGGUUGACCUCGGAUCAGGUAGGGAUACCCGCUGAACUUAAGCAUAUCAAUAAGCGGAGGAAAAGAAACCAACAGGGAUUGCCUCAGUAACGGCGAGUGAAGCGGCAACAGCUCAAAUUUGAAAUCUGGCUCUUUUAGGGCCCGAGUUGUAAUUUGUAGAGGAUGCUUCGGCGUCGGCUCCGGUCUAAGUUCCUUGGAACAGGACGUCAUAGAGGUUG
rnacentral:sRNA from 1 species